rnacentral:rRNA from 1 species
UUCCGGUUGAUCCUGCCGGACCCCAUUGCUAUCGGGAUAGGACUAAGACAUGCUAGUCAAGCGCUUUCUAGCUAAUAUGAAAGUGCGGCAUACAGCUCAGUAACACGUGGCUAACCUGCCCUUGGGACGGAGACACCCCCGGGAAACUGGGGUUAAUUUCCGAUAGGUGAAAAAUUCUGGAAUGAAUUUUCGCUCAAAAGAGGUUUAUGUUAUGCUCAUAUUCUUCGCCCAGGGAUGGGGCCGCGACCGAUCAGGUUGUUGGUGAGGUAAUGGCUCACCAAGUCUUUUACCGGUACGGGCCGUGAGAGCGGGAGCCCGGAGAUGGGCACUGAGACAAGGGCCCAGGCCCUACGGGGCGCAGCAGUCGCGGAAACUUUGCAAUACACGAAAGUGUGACAAGGCUAUCCCGAGUGCCAUCCGCUGAGGAAGGCUUUUACCCAGUAUAAAUAGCUGGGAGAAUAAGGAAAGGGCAAGUCUGGUGUCAGCCGCCGCGGUAAUACCAGCUCUCCGAGUAGUGUGGAUGUUUAUUGGGCCUAAAGCAUCCGUAGCUUGCUAGGCAAGUCCCCUGUUAAAUCCACCGAUUCAAUCGAUGGUUUGCGGGGGAUACUGUUUGGCUAGGGGACGGGAGAGGUCGACGGUAUUUCCGGAGUAGGGGUGAAAUCCUAUAAUCCCGGGAGGACCACCAGUGGCGAAGGCUGUCGACUAGAACGCGCCCGACGGUGAGGGAUGAAAGCUGGGGGAGCGAACCGGAUUAGAUACCCGGGUAGUCCCAGCUGUAAACGAUGCAGGCUAGGUGUUUGGGCGGCCACGAGCCGCCCUAGUGCCGCAGGGAAGCUGUUAAGCCUGCCGCCUGGGGAGUACGGCCGCAAGGCUGAAACUUAAAGGAAUUGGCGGGGGAGCACCACAAGGGGUGAAGCUUGCGGUUUAAUUGGAUUCAACGCCGGA